rnacentral:tRNA from 1 species
GCAGUGGUGGCUCAGGGGUAGAACUCUCUCCUUGUAUGCAGGAGACCCAGGUUCAAUUCCCGGCCAGUGCG